rnacentral:rRNA from 1 species
AGCGGCGGACGGGUGAGUAAUGCCUGGGAAUUUGCCCAUUUGUGGGGGAUAACAGUUGGAAACGACUGCUAAUACCGCAUACGCCCUACGGGGGAAAGCAGGGGACCUUCGGGCCUUGCGCUGAUGGAUAAGCCCAGGUGGGAUUAGCUAGUAGGUGAGGUAAAGGCUCACCUAGGCGACGAUCCCUAGCUGGUCUGAGAGGAUGAUCAGCCACACUGGGACUGAGACACGGCCCAGACUCCUACGGGAGGCAGCAGUGGGGAAUAUUGCACAAUGGGGGAAACCCUGAUGCAGCCAUGCCGCGUGUGUGAAGAAGGCCUUCGGGUUGUAAAGCACUUUCAGCGAGGAGGAAAGGGUGUAAGUUAAUACCUUACAUCUGUGACGUACUCGCAGAAGAGCACCG